rnacentral:misc_RNA from 1 species
UCAAACUUGGUCAUUUAGAGGAAGUAAAAGUCGUAACAAGGUUUCCGUAGGUGAACCUGCGGAAGGAUCAUUAUCGAGUUUCGGGUCAGAAGUUCUGCUUCUGUUGCCCAAACUUCCUAUCCUCUGUUUAUUUGACCUUUUUUGUUGCUUCGGUAAGUCUGUCUGUUUACAGGCUACCGGGAUUGAACAACAGUUCAUGCUGUUUUCAACCUGGUUCGUUUACUUACCGAUGGCCCAAAAUUUCAAAAAUUCUGAUUUAAACAUGAAAUGUCUCAGUUGUUUUUAAAUUCAAUGAAAACAAAAAACUUUCAACAACGGAUCUCUUGGUUCUGGCAUCGAUGAAGAACGCAGC